GUCUCAGCCUCCCAAAAUGCUGGAAUUGAUUACAGGCAUGAGCCACCACACCUGGCCUAAAAAAAACUAUACUAAAAAUCAUAUAUAUAUAUUUAUUUUGUGAUGCCUGAAGGAAUAUAUGAAUGUAUUUGUAGUUGAACUUUUUGAUUAUACCUGACAAAUCUUACUCAAGCUUAAGUAUAAACAAAAUAAAACAAAACAAAAAACAAAAAAAAGGGCAGAGUGCUUUAUUAGAUAACUAAGCCCUAGAAAAGCAAGAACUGGGACUAGUUACAGGAUUUUCUGAAUCUAGAGAAUAAAAUAUCUCAACAGUAGCUAGAUGAGCUAAUAUCGUCUAGGAACUGUUUCUUUCCAUCUUUUCCUCUUUGGGCUUUAUUUUUUCAGGGCUGUUGACAGUUCUAGGAUUAAGCUCAGUUUAACCAAGGAGGAAGAAACCCUUUCUCUAUACUUCAGAUCCCAAAAAUACCUUGAGAAGAACUCUGCCAGGGCUCAGUUAUGUGCCUACUGCUUAGAUUAGUCACUGUAUUAAGAAUGUCUUAAGAUUUUGGGCUAGUCCAUGGCUACGAGAAAAGAGAAUAAGUCAUGCGCUGCAUAAAGAUGUUUCAUAUGAGAUGGUGGUACCAUAAGAUUAUAACGGAGCUGAAAAAUUAUUAUUGCCUAAUGAAGUCAUAGCUGCCAUAAAGUAGUGUGACACAUUAUUCAUACUUGUGGUGAUGCUGGUGUAAAUAAGCCUAUGGCCCUGCCUAUUAUAUAAAAGUAUAGCACAUAGAAUUAUACAUAUAGUACAUAAUACUUGACAAUGAUAUUAUUGGUUUAUGUACAUGCUGUACUAUACUUUUUUUUGUUAUUUUAGAGUGUACCCCUUCUACCUGUUUUAAAAAGAUUAAAAGAGCCACAGGCAGGUUUUACUGAAGGCAUUCCAGAAAAAGACAUUGUUAUGAUACAAGACAACAGCUUCAUGCAUGUUCUUGCCCCUGGAGAACUUCCAUUGUGACAAGAUGGAGGUGGAAGAAAAUGAUAUUGAUGACCCUGAUCCUGUGUAGGGCUAGGCUGUUCAGUAUGUGUCUUAGUUUUUAAUAGCAACAACAAAAAUAUAGAAUACUAAAAAGAAAAAAUUUUUAAAAUAGAAAAAAUUUAGGGAAUAAGGAUACAAGAAAAUCUUUUUAUACAGCUGUACAAUUGUGUUUGUGUUUUGAGCUAAAUGUUAUAGUCAAAAAGUUAAAAAAAAUUAAGUUUAUAAAGUAAAAAGGUUACAAUAAGGUUAAUUUAUUAUUGAAGAAAAAAAAAAUUUUUUUUAUAAGUGUAGUAUACCCUACAUAUAUAGUAUUUAUAUUUCUGUAUUAGUGGAUGGUCAUGUCAGGGCUUUCACAUUCAUUCACCAUACACUCACUGACUCACCUAUAGCAACAUCAUUCUUGCAAGCUCCAUUCAUGGCAAGUGCCCUAUACACAUAUACAGCUUGUAUCUUUUAUACUAGAGGUGUCCAGUCUUUUGGCGUCCCUGGUCACACUGGAAGAAAUAGGAUUGUCUUGGCCCGUACAUAAAAUACACUAACACUGACGAUAGCUGAUGAGCUAAGAAAAAAAAUUGCAAAAAGAUUACGUAAUGUUUUAAGAAAGUUUAUGAAUUUGUGUUGGGCCUCAUUCAAAGCCAUCCUGGGCUGCGUGCAGGCUGCAGGUUGGACAAGCUUGCUUUAUACUGUAUUUUUACUGUAUUUUUUCUGUGUUUAGAUACACAAAUACUAUUGUGUAACAGUUGCCUAUGGUAUUCAGUACAGUAUGACGCUAUAUAGGUUUGUAGCUGAGGUGUGUAGUAGACUAUACCAUUUAGGUUUGUGUAAAUACAUUUAAAGAUGUUCACACAAGGACAAAAUCACCUAAUGAUGCAUUUCUCAGAACAUAUCCCUGUCGUUAAGCAACAUAUGACUCUACAAUGUUGGCUGCUCCAUCAGAACCAUAGAAAUGUUGGGGAGAGAAGCAGUUGCUCAAAGGAUUGGUUAUGUAGACAAAAAUAAUAAACAAAAAUAAUAAUACUAUAAGGAAUAUUUUUCUAUUAUUUUGCAGAUUACCAAAACUGUUUCAGUUAUUCUCUACUGAUUUUUGAGGAAAAUAAGUAUUAAAAGAAAUUAUUUGUAAGCAGGAAGUUAAUUGUAUUUUCCAUACCAGAAGAAAAAUGGGGAAAUAGCAACAUGUUGGUUCUACUAAAAGAGUAGUAAGUUUACAACAGUAUAUUAUUUUAUUCAAAUAAGUAUUUAAUCAAAAAAUUUUUCUAACAAUUAUUGUGUAAUUAUUUGUUUAUUCUGUAAAGCUCUGCUUGCUUCUAGGGAUAAAAUAGAAUAUAAGAUAGAUAAAUCCUUGUUCUCAAAGAUGUUACAGAGCUACAUAAUUGCAGUUAGGAGAGAAUUACAGGGUUCAAUGAGAGGGCAUAACAGGGAUUUGACCUGUCUUGGAGGUCAGUGAAAAUGUGCUGGGUGAGCUAACUUGCUGUACUCCAAAGGAAUGACAGGAAUAACUUAGGUGCAGGAGCGGAAGUGCCUCUUAGGGAUGGCAAAUGGAAUGUUUAAGGCACCUGGAUAUUACAGAUUUCAGUAUGUUUAGUAUCUGUUUUUACAGUUCUUUUGAUUUCUAUCAUGGCUUUAAAUUUUUUAUUAGCUUGACAUAUGAAGCUUAUUAAAUAAUGUUAUAAAAUAAUUUAAGAGGGAGAUUUUGUCUUUUAUACAUGUAUAACAUUUACAAAUAAAAUAUGUUAUAU